rnacentral:rRNA from 1 species
AUUGAACGCUGGCGGCAGGCCUAACACAUGCCAGUCGAACGCGUGGCGGACGGGUGAGUAAUGUCUGGGCAACUGCCCGAUGGAGGGGGAUAACUACUGGAAACGGUAGCUAAUACCGCAUACCAUCGGAUGUGCCCAGAUGUGUUUAGCUAGUAGGGGGGUUAACGGCUCACCGAGGCGACGAUCCCUAGCUGGUCUGAGAGGAUGACCAGCCACACUGGAACUGAGAAACGGUCCAGACUCCGACGGGAGGCAGCAGUGGGGAAUAUUGCACAAUGGGCGAAAACCUGAUGCAGCCAUGCCGCGUGUAUGAAGAAGGCCUUCGGGUUGUAAAGUACUUGCAGCGAGGAGGCGUUACUCGCAGAAGAAGCAACGGCUAACUCCGUGCCAGCAGCCGCGGUAAUUC